UACGGAGGAUCCAAGCGUUGUCCGGAUUUAUUGGGUUUAAAGGGUGCGUAGGCGGCUUUGUAAGUCAGUGGUGAAAUAUGGCAGCUCAACUGUCAGGGUGCCAUUGAUACUGCGGAGCUUGAGUACAGAUGAGGUAGGCGGAAUUGACGGUGUAGCGGUGAAAUGCUUAGAUAUCGUCAAGAACACCGAUAGCGAAGGCAGCUUACUGGGCUGUAACUGACGCUGAGGCACGAAAAGUGUGGGGGAUCAAACAGG
rnacentral:rRNA from 1 species